rnacentral:rRNA from 1 species
CCUACGGGUGGCAGCAGUGAGGAAUAUUGGUCAAUGGGCGUAAGCCUGAACCAGCCAAGUCGCGUGAGGGAUGAAGGUUCUAUGGAUCGUAAACCUCUUUUAUAAGGGAAUAAAGUGCGGGACGUGUCCCGUUUUGUAUGUACCUUAUGAAUAAGGAUCGGCUAACUCCGUGCCAGCAGCCGCGGUAAUACGGAGGAUCCGAGCGUUAUCCGGAUUUAUUGGGUUUAAAGGGUGCGUAGGCGGAUCGUUAAGUCAGUGGUCAAAUUGAGGGGCUCAACCCCUUCCCGCCAUUGAAACUGGCGCUCUUGAGUGGAAGAGAAGUAUGCGGAAUGCGUGGUGUAGCGGUGAAAUGCAUAGAUAUCACGCAGAACCCCGAUUGCGAAGGCAGCAUGCCGGCUUCCGACUGACGCUGAAGCACGAAAGCGUGGGGAUCGAACAGGAUUAGAUACCCCAGUAGUC